AUUCUAAUUCACUGGUUUCCAAACUUGUCACUGUGUCUUCAUGCUGACAUUCUAGGCACUCCUCGUCUCGGCUCCCCUAUCUUUAUUUCAUCUUUGGGCUAGCGGAUUUCUCUUAUCUUUUCCCUUUCUUAGCUGCAAGAAAAGCAUGUACAUAUUUUGUUGUUUGCAACCUUUCAAAAGUCCACUUUCUGGUUUUUGGUGCCUGAAACAACUUUUUUUUUCUUUUCUUUUCUUUUUUUUUUUUUUUUUGUUUGGGAUGGAGUCUUGCUCUGUCGCCCAGGCUGGAAUGUGGUGGCACGAUUUCGGCUCACUGCAACCUCUACCACCUGGGUUCAAGCAAUUCUCCUGCCUCAGCCUCCCUGGUAGCUGGGACUACAAGCAUGUGCCACCACGCCUGGGUAAUUUUUGUAUUUUUAG
rnacentral:lncRNA from 1 species